rnacentral:rRNA from 1 species
UUCCGGUUGAUCCCGCCGGAGGUCACUGCUAUUGGGAUUCGAUUAAGCCAUGCGAGUCGAGAGGGUUCGGCCCUCGGCAGACGGCUCAGUAACACGCGGAUAAUCUGCCCUUAGGUGGAGGAUAACCUCGAGAAACUGAGAAUAAUACUCCAUAGAUCUAGGAUGCUGGAAUGCACUUAGAUUGAAAGUUCCGACGCCUAAGGAUGAGUCUGUGGACUAUCAGGUAGUAGUCAGGGUAAAGGCCUGACUAGCCUACGACGGAUACGGGUUGUGAGAGCAAUAACCCGGAGACGAUAUCUGAGACACGAUAUCGGGCCCUACGGGGCGCAGCAGGCGCGAAACCUUCACAAUGUGCGAAAGCACGAUGAGGGGAUCCCAAGUGCUUGCUCGUAAGAGUAAGCUGUUUUUAUGUCUAAAAAGCAUAGAGAGUAAGGGCUGGGUAAGACGGGUGCCAGCCGCCGCGGUAAUACCUGCAGCUCAAGUGGUGACCACUAUUAUUGGGCCUAAAACGUUCGUAGCCGGUUUGGUAAAUGCCUGGGUAAAUCGUGUAGCUUAACUAUACGAAUUCCGGGUAGACUGCCAAACUUGAGACCGGGAGAAGCUAGAGGUACUCCUGGGGUAGAGGUGAAAUUCUGUAAUCCUGGGGGGACCACCAGUGGCGAAGGCGUCUAGCUAGAACGGGUCUGACGGUGAGGAACGAAGCCCUGGGGCGCAAACCGGAUUAGAUACCCGGGUAGUCCAGGGUGUAAACGCUGCUUGCUUGAUGUUAGUCGGGCUCCGAGCCCAAUUAGUGUCGGAGAGAAGUUGUUAAGCAAGCUGCCUGGAAGUACGAUCGCAAGAUUGAAACUUAAAGGAAUUGGCGGGGGAGCACAGCAACGGGUGGAGCGUGCGGAUUUCUUGGAUUCACGCCGGAA